rnacentral:rRNA from 1 species
CCUACGGGGGGCAGCAGUGAGGAAUUUUCGUCAAUGGGGGAAACCCUGAACGAGCAACGCCGCGUGCAGGAAGAAGGCUUUCGGGUCGUAAACUGCUUUUCUGUGGGAAGAAGGAAGUGACGGUACCACAGGAACAAGCCUCGGCUAACUACGUGCCAGCAGCCGCGGUAAGACGUAGGAGGCAAGCGUUGUCCGGAGUUACUGGGCGUAAAGGGCCCGCAGGCGGUCGAGCAAGUUCGGCGUAACAGUUCCCGGCUUAACUGGGAAAGGCCGCACGAAAACUGCUCGACUUGAGGACUUGAGAGGGAGACGGAAUUCCGGGUGGAGCGGUGAAAUGCGUAGAGAUCCGGAGGAACACCGAAGGCGAAGGCAGUCUCCUGGCAAGCUCCUGACGCUCAUGGGCGAAAGCCAGGGGAGCGAACGGGAUUAGAUACCCUAGU